GUUUCCAUCCGUUCCAUUCUGCUCGUACCCCGCGUGUUGUCCUCGCAUAGGGACACGCUUAGCGGUGGAUUAUGAUACGGUACAAGAACCGUUGCUAGAAAGCUUGGCAGUUUCCACUGCCCUCUCAUUCUUUUCUUAGCUUUCUUUGCCAGUUGCUUUUUUUUCCUUCGUCUCUUCCUACUGAAUUGUCUCCUACACCACGUCUUUCUUCAUAGUUGAACCUAAGUGUUCUGGAAAGAGUGCAAGAACCGCUGCGCGAAGGCUUUGCAAUCUCCAUUACUGUGUCUCAUUUGUUUCUUAGUCUGUGCAAAACUAGAUCUUCGAUUUUCCUAUGAUCGGCGGAGUUUGGAGUGCCAACCUCGACAGUUUUGUUGCUUUUAGCCAGAUUUUGAAUUCGGUGUGUUAAGCAUGGUGCCAUGAAACAAUAAUUGGAAUAAGGCUGGUGGAGCAUCUGUUCCUUUUUGGUGUCUUACUCCCUUGCCCUACUGAACACAGGAGUAACGGACAAGAGGCCUCUCCUAUUUAGAGGAUAAAGUUUGUGAUUCAAAAAAAAACCAGACCAGUUGUUAGAGCGGGGUAGGAUAGGCAAUUAACAUGAUUGGUCCCGUUUCAGUUUAAGUUGUUGGAUGUGAGUACGUCGGAUAAGCGAAAGCAAGCAGGAAAUUUAUAUGCUGUACUUUGGCUUCUUUUCUUUCAAUAUUUAUGGAGCCUGCGCAUUGGAGUAAGUUUUGUUUAUGGUUCUGUGAAUCAAAAGUUAUGGUACUACUCUUGGGAGGGGUGGGAAGCGGUUAGUGAAAACCUCAUUACCAUUCAUUUUUUACGCAUGUUUUCUUUCAGUUUGGGACCUUUGGGUUAACUAAUGCAGCAGGUUAUUGUUUUUUAAGUGCUAAAAUUAUGAAGACGCCACUACUGUUAUCUCAAAGAUUUCAUCUCCAAGAAUCAUUGAUGCACAUCACUAAAAACGCAUACAAGUUUUCUAACUCCAUCCCAUUACAAGCAAACAAGAAAUAGAGAAGAAGGGGAAAGUAAUAGCAAAGCCACAAAAAAGGGAGUCCGAGGAGCACGGAGGAGUCAUUGCCUGCUGACCGGAAUCCACCACAGCCACUGCCAUCGCCAUUGUCGUUGAAUUUCUUCACCAAAAGAGCAUUGUGAACUUUCGAUGGUUUUGAAAGGUGAACUUUUCACUCUACUUCUAUUAGCUUAUCGGUUUUGAGUUUAUCAAUUUGCUGAUCAUAAUUGAAGGUCGCAUUGAUGUGAUUUGUUUGUUGUGCUGAUGUCUUUUGUUUUAUGAUUAAGGGCUGUAUUUUAGACAGGUCAUUCAAACUUAUUUGACGUGCACACCAUAUAUUCGCUAUAUGUCCUCAUUUAACAUCUACAAUCAUUGUGUGUUAGUUUUUCUCUGUUUCAGAAAAUUGUAUGAUGUUUUGGAUUGGUUUAAUGUAAUUUCAUCAAUGCAUGUUUCGAUUGUGAUAUGGUAUUUGCUUGUUCUUUUGUUUUUUGUAAUUUGUUAUGAUAUUAUGGUUCCCUUCCUGUGUUUACAUAGUACAUUAUAUGGUUCACGUAAAUUUGAAUAUUGCAGAGCCAAAAAACUGGUGUCAUUGUCAACGGUUAUGAAUAAAGAAAAUAAGUAAGAGACUUUCGAUGCUUAAUACCCAAGCCAAUGAAAAUGUCCACUUGGAUAGAAACCAAGUAGUUCUUGAUUUGUGAUUAGUACAUGAAUUGGCAACCAAACCCAUGAGCAUUUUGUUUAACCACUUCGAAAUAUUCAUUUGGUUUUAGAUUCUGUUGAAGAUAAAAUACCUUUCAAAUCUUUUGUAACAAGUUGGCAAACUAUUGCAAAAUUGACGUAGCCAGAUGUAGAUUUUUAUAUUGAGCAACAACUUCUUUGAUAUCAAAACUGGUGGAGCAUUAAUUUGUCAUUUUUUUAACAACUCAUUUAUAAUGUAUUGGAGCAAUUGAUUUUUCUUCUCGUAAACAACACCUAACAGGUUUUGCAGUUCCUAUAACCUUCUCUUAUUAUAAUAUCUGUAUAGUUUAAUCCAUUAUAAACUAAUAAGUUUCCAAAAAGAACCAGAAAAGCUAUAGAACAGAAAGGAAUAUAUGGAAGGCCAAUUGGAUGCUAUUUUUCUCUUUUUCUUUCUUUAAUUUUCCUUGUGUAAGACAUGGCCAGGCAUUUCAUACUUUCUGUUUCACUUUGUGUUUGUGUGUGUGUAUAUGUGUUUUAUCUUUUUCCUAUUUUACUUUGUGGGUCUAGCUAAUGUAGUUUGUAAUCUAGCCUAUGAAUAUAUCCAAUUCAUUUUCUAUAUUUGAGAUUUAAAACAUUAGAAAUUACGCAGGAAACUAAUCAAAUUAAAAGGUGUUGAACAUCAAAUUUGCAAGUUCAAUUUUUUUUGAAUGAGUUUAAUUAGGUUGUCAAGAGACAAACUAUUAUAAACUAAUUACAUUAAGGUAUUUGUAUUCCAGAGGCAUUACAACUAACUUUUCUAUCCAAAACCAAGUAACAAGAAAAAUAUAGGUGAUUUUCUAAACAUAUUGAGAGGUUAUUACAGUUGGUCUAGGUGUCAUUCCUAACUUCAAUAAAUGAAUGGUGGUCUAACAAUAUGAACUUGUUAGCCCUGAAUUUAUGCAAUGUAAAGCUAAGAAAAGAUGAUGUGUUUUUUUUUUUUGACAAUUAGCUAUACUUUUUUUUUUUUUGAGUCUGAGCAAGCUUAGACUGUUGAAAUAUGCCAUGGUAGUGAAAUUAGUUCCAAAGAUUCUUUGAUGUUAAAUUCAGGCCACUUCAGAAGAGCGUUCAGCAUGAUUGAUGGGUUAAAUGUAUAAUUUUUGGUUCUCUUUUUUUUCCAGGAAAGGAAGUCAGUUUUUGUCCCAAGUCACUUAUGAAAUUUCACGCAAGUAGCUAACUCUUGAAUUUAAAACAAUUGGAUUUCCCCACUUUUGCAUGAUUUCUUUUUCCCUUGCAUAUUUUGUCUCUUCAAACCAAAUUAACAAAAAAAAAAAAGAGAAAAAAAUGAGAGGCAGGGUCUUGUUCGAGGAAUAGGGAUGAGCUAUUGUUGCCGAGCAGAGUUCGCCACCACUAUUGUGGUGGCAAAAUUUCUUCAUCGGAAAAGCACGGUGAAGUUUCUUCAUUUUUUGGGUUUUCUGAUCUUGUUCUCCAAUUAAUUGGGUAUCCAUGAAACAAACACAGAACACACUCUCAUCUCAGGAGCAACUUAAACGAUUGAAGAACUCAUUCUCAUUUCAGACAUUUCAUUCUCUAGAAUCAUUAACCAUGGAAAAUGAUGGAUAUUGUGAAUGGAUGAAAAGUUGAAUUCAAUCAAAUACAGUUGCGAUUGUCACCUCUUGGUUAUAAAUGUUCCAUAACAGCUAAUUUCUGCUCUGUUUACUCUUUGUAGUAUUUUUCUCCAUCCUAAUUAGUGCCCAAAACCUAUUUGUAAAAUGCCUUAAAGCCAGAUUUAGCUUUCUGAAUUUAAUUAAGAUAAAAUGUUGCAUGCUUAUACUAGGUGUUCUAAGGAUUGCAGAUAGAGACAGCUUAUUUGUUUUAAACCAAGUUUACCACGUUUAGAACCAAGAUAGAGAGAACUCAUAUUGGAGGGAACUUAUUUGUUUUAAGUCAAGUUUACCAUCAUUAACAUAUUUUUGUAGCCUUGGACAAGUUGGAACAUUUACUGUCUUUAGAGUCUAAAGCAAUACAAUCAUAGUUAGAAAAUGCAUCUCCUCAUGCCAAUGUAUGACUUGGGAAUUAGGAUGAUGAUGGUAUUGAAUAGGGCUGGUCACUUCUUGGUUAUAAAUGUUCCGUAGCAGCUAAUUUCUGCUCUGUGUUCAUAUUUCAUUCUGUUUUUUAUUUUUUAAGUUCUGUUUUCUUACUCACCUUUGUUUGGUGAUUUGAUGUUUUGAUUUCAGAUUUCCAAGUUAGCAAAGGGUAAUAAGAUCUCCUGUUUUAUUCCGGUGAUUUGAGUUUCAGAUGAUUCUCUAUUUAUGUGGUGCAUGCUUUGAUUUGUGUUCUUUACGUGAACUUUUGCCUCCAUUUAUGUGGACCAUUGUCUCAGGGCCAACUUCUUCUUCCAAUUGAAAGCUUCCAUUUCCUAAUUUUGCAAGUUGAGCUUUUCUAAAUGAGUCGCCGUUGAAAAUAUGCAAGCUUAGAAGAAUCGUAUGAAGAAAGGAUUAGAAAGAGACGUGAGCAACGUGCCAGUCCGAGUGCUAAGCAUGACUGUGGUAGAUAUCAAGGUGUACGUAUUAUGGCUAUAAGUGCAUUUAACAUAUGCGAAUCUAGCAUGACGAGGACAACAGGAAAAGGUGAUAAGGUUCAAAUCAAUGAGAUGAAGAAGCAAAAUCAUUGAUGAGUGUAAAGUGGAAGAGUCUACAUCAUCUGAGUCCAUUUUGGUCACAUGAUAUAAAAGACUCAGAGUGGCAACAAGAAGUCAACAAAGGCGAGCACUACCCGGAGUUGGAGUUACAGCCACGAUGCUGCCCACACAAGUAUGCCUUUUGGGCAAUAAAGGAGAGUAGCUCAGGAAAUAAAAAUAUUGAUGAAGCUGUGGCAAUCAAACUAGUUUUGUGCAACGCAGUGGAAAAACAGUGGAGUUCGCAACAAAGAACUUCUGAGACAGCUUAAAUACCGAAGACCUCUUGAUAGCAGAAUGGCAACUGUAAUUGAGGACAUCCUAAGCUUAACAACGUUGUUCCGACUGUGCCCCUUUUUACUUAGUUAAUGAAGAUAGUAUUAGUGGAAAAAUUGGCUCCUAUGUUUUAGGCAUUCUUUUGGAUGUGGAAGGCGUUAUUUCUUAAUGUUGUUGAACA